CCCUUAGAUGUUCUGGGCCGCACGCGCGCUACACUGUUUGAUUCAGCGAGUCUUAACCUUGACCGAAAGGUUUGGGUAAUCUUCUAAAGUCAAACGUGAUGGGGAUCGAUCAUUGCAAUUAUUGAUCGUGAACGAGGAAUUCCUAGUAAAUGCAAGUCAACAGCUUGCGUUGAUUACGUCCCUGCCCUUUGUACACACCGCCCGUCGCUACUACCGAUUGAAUGGUUUAGUGAGAUCUCCGGAUUGGCUCUGUAGGUCCCGCAAGGGAUUUAUUAGUAGCCAAGAAGCUGCUCAAACUUGAUCAUUUAGAGGAAGUAAAAGUCGUAACA
rnacentral:rRNA from 1 species